rnacentral:rRNA from 1 species
AUCGUGUUUCGGCACGAGUUGUAGAUUGCAGGUUGGAGUCUUUGUGGAAGCGUGUGUCUAAGUCCCUUGGAACAGGGUGCCAUUGAGGGUGAGAGCCCCGUGAGACGCGUGCGGAAGCUGUAAGGCCCUUCUGACGAGUCGAGUUGUUUGGGAAUGCAGCUCUAAGUGGGUGGUAAAUUCCAUCUAAGGCUAAAUAUUGGCGAGAGACCGAUAGCGAACAAGUACUGUGAAGGAAAGAUGAAAAGCACUUUGAAAAGAGAGUGAAACAGCACGUGAAAUUGUUGAAAGGGAAGGGUAUUGGGCUCGACAUGGGAUUUGCGCACCGCUGCUCCUUGUGGGCGGCGCUCUGUGCUUUUCCUGGGCCAGCAUCGGUUUUUGCCGCACGAGAAGGCGUGCUGGAAUGUGGCUCUUCGGAGUGUUAUAGCCAGUGCGAGAUGCUGCGUGCGGGGACCGAGGACUGCGACAUCUGUCUCGGAUGCUGGCACAA